rnacentral:lncRNA from 1 species
UCGUUGGUAACAGAGGCCCAGGAGAAAAUAUGAACAAAAACUGGUGAAGGCCAUCACCAGACCUAGCAGUUGCAUCCUGUUCAGCACCACAGACAGCUCCCUCGCAAAUGCCAUCCUUUCAAAAGUUCACAGCAUGAAAGCAUUUGCAAGCCAUGCCUUCUUCAAUUUGGGAUCCAGACUCAGGAAUGCAACUGGAUCGUGUGCUGCAGUGAAGUCUCACUCCAUUGCCAGGCUGGAGUGCAGUGGCGCGAUCUCGGCUCUCGGCUCACUGCAACCUCC